GACGAACGCUGGCGGCGUGCCUAAUACAUGCAAGUCGAACGAGAAUUUCGUAAACUGAAUGCUUGCAUUCACCGUAAGAAAUUCGAGGGGCUGACGGGUGAGUAGCACGUGGGUAACGGGCCCAAAAGAAGGGGAUAAGAUUUUGAAACAAGUGCUAGUACGGUAUAACCAUGAGAACUGCAUGGUCAUGAUGUAAAAGGUGGUCUUGCUGUCGCUUCUGGAUGGGUCCGGGGGGGAUUAACUAGUUGGUAGGGUAACGGCCUACCAAGGUGAUGAUACGUAGCUGGGUUGAGAGAAUGAUCGGCCACAAUGGGACUGAGACACGGCCCAUACUCCUACGGGAGGCAGCAGUAGGGAAUCUUGCACAAUGGGCGCAAGCCUGAUGGAGCAACGCCGCGUGAAUGAAGAAGGUCUUCGGAUCGUAAAAUUCUGCUGUUAGAGAAGAAUAUGAGUAAUAGCAACUGAUUAUUCACUGACGGUAUCUAACCAGCAAGUCACGGCUAACUACGUGCCAGCAGCCGCAGUAAAAC
rnacentral:rRNA from 1 species